AUGAAAACCGUUGCUGGUUUUCUCAUGUUUGAGGAUUAGGAAGGUCCCUCCUCCUCUGCUCCUGCCCACAAGGGCCUGAUCUUGUGGAAGCUUCCAUCUUGCCUUGACCUGCCAUGGGCACCAGGCUGCUCUGCUGGGUGGCCCUGGGUCUCCUGGGAGCAGACCACACAGAUGCUGGAGUCUCCCAGGAUCCCAGGCACAAGAUAACAGGGAGGGGACAGAAUGUCACUCUCAAGUGUGACCCAGAGUCAGAUCAUGAUGCUCUCUAUUGGUACCGACAGACCCCAGGGCAAGCUCUGCAGUUCAUGAUUUACUUCAACCGUAAAGAAAUAGUUGAUCAGUCAGGCAUGCCUGGGGAGCGCUUCUCUGCUGAGAGGCCUGAAGGAUCUUCAUCCCGCCUGAAAAUCCAGCCUGCAGAGCCUGGGGACUCAGCGGUGUACCUCUGUGCCAGCAGCUUAGCCACAGCGUAUCACUGUCACCUCCUUCCUGCUCACAAACCUCAUUCUUCCAUAUCCUGGUAG